ACAGCAACAGCAAGUUUUUUUGACAAGCUUAUGUGACAUUUUAUUUGAUCGAUCGUUCCAGUUCCUAUCGCAGAAAUACUAUUAUAUUUUCUUCCUAUAGUCCUAUGUUCUGAGUACAGCAAAAAGGGAGAUGUACAAAGUUUCAACGAGAUAGGAGGGGCUAUGGAAAGAAGCAGACUUUGAUCGUAUUUCUGAUCAGGAACCUUCUUCAAGGCUAAAGUCAGUCAGCGACAUAGAGUCAAACGUGAUCCUUAUUUAUCUGCUUGGACAUCUCAGAGGGAGUCUCAAGAUGCAGGUACUGCCAGAUGGUCCUUGCUUAUUACAAUUGGAACUCUUUAACAAAAGGAUGAUCAAUAACCACAAACUUUAUUAUUCAUACAUAUGUAACAUGCUUGCACGGUCACACUUAAAUGCGCUGCUGACUGCUGACUGGACCCGAACAGAGCCGGAGUGGGCUUUGGCUCAUAAUCGAUACGAUCAUUGUUAAGCCGAAGUAACAAACACCCGAAACCUCCGAUCCGAAAACGAGCAGCAAGGCACUGAUUGAGUGGUUUAAAAUCAACAGCGAACAAUGCUAAGAUUCUUUAGAUGUGCAUUUCAAUGAUUCUGUGACUUCUGAGUAAUGGGAUAGAUGUCGCAUCCGUGUUGCUUAUUUAAGGAUU
rnacentral:sRNA from 1 species